AUACGUAGGGGGCGAGCGUUGUCCGGAAUGAUUGGGCGUAGAGGGCGCGUAGGCGGCGCGGUAAGUCUGGAGUGAAAGUCCUGCUUUCAAGGUGGGAAUUGCUUUGGAUACUGCCGCGCUUGAGUGCAGGAGAGGUUAUCGGAAUUCCCGGUGUAGCGGUGAAAUGCGUAGAGAUCGGGAGGAACACCAGUGGCGAAGGCGGGUAACUGGACUGCAACUGACGCUGAGGCGCGAAAGUGUGGGGAGCAAACAGGAUUAGAUACCCUGGUAGUCCACACUGUAAACGAUGAAUGCUAGGUGUAAGAGGUAUCGACCCCUUUUGUGCCGGAGUCAACACAAUAAGUAUUCCGCCUGGGGAGUACGGCCGCAAGGUUGAAACUCAAAGGAAUUGACGGGG
rnacentral:rRNA from 1 species